ensembl:processed_transcript
GGUGGAGAGAGAAUUAAUCGGAGCGUGUGUGUAAUUCCACUAAUGUUACUGGUGUUUUGUGUUCAUUUAAAGACCGUGAGUAAAUGAGGCAUCCAGAAAAAUCCUGCAAAGCUGGAGAGACUGAAGAAUGAAAAGACUUUAUUGAAGAGAACGAGGAGAGAGAAGAUGAUGGACUUGCAAAAGCUGAGAAAAUCCCUCAUUUAUUGACUAAAGGUAUUUUUAAUAAUGAAAGGAAAAGACAAGAAGUGUUUCACCUGCACUGAGUGUGGGAAGAGUUUGGGAUGCAAACCAAGUUUCCAGUUUCACAUGAGGAUUCACACUGGAGAGAAGCCGUACACAUGCACUCAGUGUGGGAAGAGUUUCAGACAAUCAUCAGCGCUUAAAAUACACAUGCGCAUCCACACUGGAGAGAAACCGUACACAUGUACAGAGUGUCAGAAGAGUUUUAGUCGAUUAGAAUACCUUA